rnacentral:rRNA from 1 species
AUGUCAUGUAUGCCUUGCCUUAGAGCACGAGCAAUGCGGAAAAAAAACAGAAACCUGCGCUCUAGUGGUGGUGACGAAGGCGGGAUAACUUCUGGUCUAUCAAGUAGACACCCAUUCUCGAUUCCUAAGCGCAAUGGAUUUGUUUCUGUUGGCGAAAGCUGUAUUCUGAAGACAAAUCAUUUUAAACCAUCGACUUAUUGUGACAAUAUUUACCGAUAUGAGGUAUUUAUGAACUAUGAGUUUCUGUCAUCUGGCCCCUCUCAUGCUACCGCCAUCUCAUGUGGUGUCAAACGUGCUGUUAUGAGAAAGCUUUGCAAGAUGUAUAGGGAAUCACAUUUGCGUGGCCGGCGUCCUGCAUAUGAUGGAAGGAACAGGUUAUAUGCAUCUGGACCGUUUUCAUUUGAAUCUGAGACCUUUGUUAUAACAUUACAAAAUGAGGAAGAUAGUCUUGAUUAUGGGCAAACCCCACAGAGGCCCACGACAGUGUUUUCUGUCACGAUAACUUACAAUGCAUUUUUGACCGGAGCAAUUGACAGUGAAGAAUUCAUUCAAGCAUGCAACACUGUUCUGUGUGAAUCUCCGAUUGAAGGGCAUUUCCGAGUCGGUCGAUCAUUUUAUCGAUCUAGUGCGAUGUUCCACGAACUUGGUGGAGGCUUGAAAGGCUGCUGUGGUUUUUAUCGAAGCAUACAACGCAGUCAGAUGGGACUUUCACUAAAUAUCGAUACUUCCUAUAAAGCAUUCAUCAAGCCUCAACUCGUGAUUGAUUUUGUUGCCGAGCUUCUUUGCAGACGCAUCUCCGAUGGCCCCAUAAAUUAUAUUGAACGCCUGAAGAUCGCGAAAGCUUUGCAUGGUAUAAAGGUUUAUGUCACACAUAGGGGCGAUGUGCGUAAGAAGUACCGUAUAUCUGGCCUUUCAUCAGAAGGGGCAAGCAAGCUAUCUUUUCCAGUUGGUGAUCAUGGAACUCAGAAGACAGUAAUGCAAUACUUCCAGGAGAAACAUGGCUAUGAUAUUCAGCAUUUUGUUUUGCCUUGCUUGCAAGUUGGUAAUCAGCAGAGGCCAAAUUACCUGCCAAUGGAGGUCUGUAAGAUAGCCGAGGGACAACACUACAGAGAACAGUUAAAUGAGGAACAGUUAUCUGCUCUUCGUGAAGUUACUUGCCAGCGCCCCAUAGAGAAGGAACUGGCCAUUUUACAGACUUCAAAAUUAUACAAUGCGGACCCAUAUACAAAGGAAUUUGGCAUAACUUUUUAUAACAAACUCACAACAGUUGAAGGUCGUGUGCUACCUCCUCCUUACCUUAAAUUUCUUGAUCGCACUGGCAAAAAUGAUGUAUUAGUGUUACCAAAAGUCGGCAAGUGGGACAUGUGGUGCAAGAAAAUGGUCAAUGGAGGAGUAGUUAACACCUGGGCAUGCAUUAACUUUGCUUGGGAAGUCACAGAUGCUCAUGCUCUGAAUUUUUGUGAUGAGUUGGUGCUGAUGUGCAAUGUAUCCGGGAUGGACCUCAGGCCUGAACCUGUGCUCCCUGUAGCAGCUUAUGACCCUAAAUCCGUAGCACGGUCACUCAAGAAACACCAUAAACGUGUCAUGAACAUACUUGGACCACGGCGCCAAAAACUCGACCUGCUGAUUCUAAUAUUGCCUGACAAUAAUGGCACUCUUUAUGGUGACAUCAAAAGAAUAUUGGAGACAGAUAUUGGAGUGGUCUCUCAAUGUUGUCUUGCAAAACAUGUUUUUAUGCCAAAAAAACAGUAUUUUGCGAAUGUUGCCCUUAAAAUUAAUGUUAAGGCCGGAGGGAGAAAUACGGUACUUGUUAGUGCUUUGGAGAGGAAACUCCCCCGUAUUGGUAAAAUACCGACUAUCAUAUUUGGCGCUGAUGUUAGUCAUCCACAUCCUGGAGAAGGAUGUUCUAGUCCUUCCAUUGCAGCUGUUGUUGCUUCUCAAGACUGGCCUGAGAUUACCAAGUAUGCUGGAUUAGUCAGUCCACAAACCCAUCGGGAAGAAGUCAUAAAUAACCUUUUUAAUGAAGAAACUGGUGGAAUGAUCAAAGAGCACCUCAUUUCUUUCAGGAGGGCAACUGGAUGCAUACCUGGGAGAAUCAUAUUUUACAGGGAUGGUGUCAGCAAUGGACAGCUUAAUCAGGUUUUGGAUGUUGAACUUUCUGCCAUAAAAAAGGCCUGUGCAUCCCUGGACCCUUGCUAUAGCCCACGAGUUACCUUUGUUGUCGUUCAGAAACGUCAUCAUACCCGUCUGUUUUCUGAUAACUAUGAUGUUGUGAGUACAAUUUAUGGAAGUGGAAAUGUACUGCCUGGUACAGUGAUUGAUAAAGAAGUAUGCCAUCCCACUGACUUUGAUUUUUAUUUGUGUAGCCAUGCUGUCACUAAGGGAGUGAGCCGACCUGUGCGUUAUCAUGUUCUGUGGGAUGAAAACAAGUUUACGGCUAACGCUUUGCAAACGCUCACAAACCACCUAUGCUACACGUAUGCGAGAUGCACCUCUUCUGUUUCAGUUGUGCCUCCUGUCUACUAUGCACAUCUUUUGGCUUCGCGGGGACGACUUUAUAUCAAACGAGGGCAUGAGGGAUCCUUUCCCGUUCUCAGUGAAAAUGUGAAAGGUGUUAUGUUUUUCUGCUAA